rnacentral:rRNA from 1 species
GAUGAACGCUGGCGGCGUGCCUAAUACAUGCAAGUCGAGCGAACAGACGAGGAGCUUGCUCCUCUGACGUUAGCGGCGGUCGGGUGAGUAACACGUGGAUAACCUACCUAUAAGACUGGGAUAACUUCGGGAAACCGGAGCUAAUACCGGAUAAUAUAUUGAACCGCAUGGUUCAAUAGUGAAAGACGGUUUUGCUGUCACUUAUAGAUGGAUCCGCGCCGCAUUAGCUAGUUGGUAAGGUAACGGCUUACCAAGGCAACGAUGCGUAGCCGACCUGAGAGGGGGAUCGGCCACACUGGAACUGAGACACGGUCCAGACUCCUACGGGAGGCAGCAGUAGGGAAUCUUCCGCAAUGGGCGAAAGCCUGACGGAGCAACGCCGCGUGAGUGAUGAAGGUCUUCGGAUCGUAAAACUCUGUUAUUAGGGAAGAACAAAUGUGUAAGUAACUAUGCACGUCUUGACGGUACCUAAUCAGAAAGCCACGGCUAACUACGUG